rnacentral:rRNA from 2 species
UACGUAGGUGGCAAGCGUUGUCCGGAAUUAUUGGGCGUAAAGCGCGCGCAGGCGGUCAAUUAAGUCUGAUGUGAAAGCCCCCGGCUCAACCGGGGAGGGUCAUUGGAAACUGGUUGACUUGAGUACAGGAGAGAAGAGUGGAAUUCCACGUGUAGCGGUGAAAUGCGUAGAGAUGUGGAGGAACACCAGUGGCGAAGGCGACUCUUUGGCCUGAAACUGACGCUGAGGCGCGAAAGCGUGGGGAGCAAACAGG